GUGCUCGCUUUGGCAACAUGUAUACUAAAAUGGGACCAAUACAGAGAAGAUUAACAUGGCCCCUGCAUAAGGAUGACACGCAAAUUUGUGAAGCGUUCCAUGUUUAA